rnacentral:rRNA from 1 species
GAUGAACGCUGGCGGCGUGCCUAAUACAUGCAAGUCGAGCGAACAGAUGAGGAGCUUGCUCCUCUGACGUUAGCGGCGGACGGGUGAGUAACACGUGGAUAACCUACCUAUAAGACUGGGAUAACUUCGGGAAACCGGAGCUAAUACCGGAUAAUAUAUUGAACCGCAUGGUUCAAUAGUGAAAGACGGUUUUGCUGUCACUUAUAGAUGGAUCCGCGCCGCAUUAGCUAGUUGGUAAGGUAACGGCUUACCAAGGCGACGAUGCGUAGCCGACCUGAGAGGGUGAUCGGCCACACUGGAACUGAGACACGGUCCAGACUCCUACGGGAGGCAGCAGUAGGGAAUCUUCCGCAAUGGGCGAAAGCCUGACGGAGCAACGCCGCGUGAGUGAUGAAGGUCUUCGGAUCGUAAAACUCUGUUAUUAGGGAAGAACAAAUGUGUAAGUAACUAUGCACGUCUUGACGGUACCUAAUCAGAAAGACACGGCUAACUACGUG